AUGACCAAUAAUACCCUUGAGUUUGAAAACAUUUCAAUCAGGGCUAGCCAUCUGGAACUCAGCAAUGGCACCAAGAUGCCCACCCUGGGCCUGGGCACCUGGAAGUCUCCUGGCUAGGUGACUGAGGCUGUGAAAGUUGCUAUUGACAUGGGGUAUCGCCACAUUCACUGUGCCCAGGAGUCCCAGAAUGAGAAGGAGGUGGGAGUGACCCUCCUGGAGAAGGUCAAGGAGCAGGUGGCAAAGCACCAGGAUCUCUUCAUCAGCAGCAAGCUGUGGUGCACAUUCCAUGACAAGAGCAUGGUGAAAGGAGCCUGCCAGAAGACACUCAGCGACCUGCAGCUGGACUACCUGGAUCUCUACCUUAUUCACUGGCCAACAGGUUUCAAGCCUGGGCCUGAUUAUUUCCCACUGGAUGCAUCAGGAAAUGUGAUUCUUAGUGACACCAAUUUGUAGACACUUGGACGCCUAUGGAACAACUAGUUGAUGAAGGUUUUGUAAAAGCAAUUUGUGUCUCCAACUUCAACCCUCUUCAGACUGAGAAGAUCUUGAACAAACCCAGCUUAAAAUAUAAGCCUUAAUAUAAGUUAAUCAGAUUGAGUGCCACCCAUACCUAACUCAGGAGAAACUGAUUGAGUACUGCCAUUGCAAAGGCAUUGUGGUGACUGCAUACAGUCCUCUUGCUUCUCCUGACAGGCCCUGGGACAAGCCUGAAGACCCGUCUCUCCUGGAGGAUCCCAGGAUCAAGGCAAUUGCAGCCAAGUGCAAUGAAACUACAGUCCAGGUGCUGAACCGUUCCCCAUUCAGAGGAACUUGAUAGUGAUCCCCAAGUCCGUGACACCAGCACACAUUGCUGAGAACUUUAAGGUCUUUGACUUUGAGCUGAACAGCUAGGACAUGACCACUCUACUCAGCUACAACAGGAACUGGAGGGUGUGGCCUUGAUGAUCUGUGCCAAACACAAGGAUUACCCCUUCCACACAGAAGUUUGA